UUUGAACAAAUCAGAGUGCUUCAAACAGGCGUUUUCGCUUGAAUGAUCGUGCAUGGAAUAAUAGAAAACGAUUUCGGUUCAGUUUUAUUGGUUUUACGGACUGAGAUAAUGGUUAACAGAGACAAACGGGGGCAAUUGUAUGGCCCCGUGAGAGGUGAAAUUCUUGGACCGUGGCCAGACAAACUACAGCGAAAGCAUUUGCCAAGAAUGUCUUCAUUAAUCAAGAACGAAAGUCAGAGGUUCGAAGGCGAUCAGAUACCGCCCUAGUUCUGACCGUAAACGAUGCCAACUAGCGAUCCGCCGAUGGAAAUUAUAUUGCCUUGGUGGGGAGCUUCCCGGAAACGAAAGUCUUCCGGUUCCGGGGGAAGUAUGGUUGCAAAGCUGAAACUUAAAGGAAUUGACGGAAGGGCACCACCAGGAGUGGAGCCCGCGGCUUAAUUUGACUCAACACGGGGAAACUCACCCGGCCCGGACACUGUGAGGAUUGACAGAUUGAUAGCUUUUUCAUGAUUCAGUGGAUGGUGGUGCAUGACCGUUCUUAGUUCGUGGAGUGAUUUGUCUGGUUUAUUCCGAUAACGAGCGAGACUCUAACCUACUAAAUAGUUGGUGCAUACUCUUUGUGUAUACAGCUUCUUAGAGGGAUUUGCGGCGUUCAGCCGAAAGAAAUUGAGCAAUAACAGGUCUGUGAUGCCCUUAGAUGUCCGGGGCUGCACGCGCGCUACACUGGCAAAAUCAACGUGCUUGUCCUACCCCGAAAGGGGCGGGUAAACCAUUGAAAAUUUGCCGUGAUUGGGAUCGGAAAUUGCAAUUAUUUUCCGUGAACGAGGAAUUCCAAGUAUCGUAUAACUUCGUAUAAUGUAUGCUAUACGAAGUUAUUACGUAUUAUUUUUUAAACUAACAUUCAUUCNGUCUGGUUUAUUCCGAUAACGAGCGAGACUCUAACCUACUAAAUAGUUGGUGCAUACUCUUUGUGUAUACAGCUUCUUAGAGGGAUUUGCGGCGUUCAGCCGAAAGAAAUUGAGCAAUAACAG
rnacentral:rRNA from 1 species